GCGCCCAUAGCUCAGGCGGUAGAGCAACUCCCUUUUAAGGAGAUGGUCGUUGGUUCGAAUCCAACUGGGCGCACUA
rnacentral:tRNA from 1 species